UUCUUUCAGUGACUUGAAGUUUCUUCAAGGCAGAAAACUAUGGAAGAUACAGUAUAGCUGAACAUCUGUCUUGUCAUGUAAGCAGAUAUUAGGAUUAAAUUAACUAGAAAUGAAUAGAAUGAUAUAUGACAGGGUGCAGAUGUCCCAGCCACAGUGUGAUAAUUUCAUUUCAAAACUAUGUAAUGAAUUCCAUACAUUACAGAAACACAAAUACACCACUUUAGGUAAUUGUGAUGAAAAGGUAUAAUAUGGAAGGGAUAAACAGAUGGUAUACCCAAAGGCAUUUUUAAUUUACUGUUGCUCUUUAGUAAUUUUGAAAUUACUUUAUUUGGUUUACUGUAAGUCUAUUAUUACAUCCUUUCAAUUUUUUUCUUUUAGGUCUUCUGAAUCUGGAUUGCAUGAGGAGCAUUAAGGACCAUUUUGUAUGUCUGCUCCUGAUAGAUUGAUGCCCAGUUUAUCUCACUUAAAUCAACUGUAUCUGACUGGACCAAUUCCUGGGUGAGUUAAUUGAACAUGGCUAAACCCAAAAUGCCGGACUAAUCCAAGGAAAUAGGAAGAGGUGAUGACUAUGAAGAUUCUCAGCUUUCAGUAAAGGCAGGUCUACUGGAGACAGAAUUAGAAAACAGCUGGCAUACAGGAGGAAAAAAAAAUACAGCCAGGCAUUCAUUCUGGGAGGUGAGGGCCUGCUGGGUCAUAUGAGGUUACCAUCUGAACAAGUUAGUGGAAUCAUAC